rfam:Ictidomys tridecemlineatus contig079356, whole genome shotgun sequence.
GGGGUUGUGGCUCAGUGGUAGAGCGCUUGGCUAGCAUUUAUGAGGCACUGGGUUCGAUUCUCAGCACCA